UACGGAAGGUAGCAGUGGGGAAUAUUGCACAAUGGGCGCAAGCCUGAUGCAGCCAUGCCGCGUGUAUGAAAAAGGCCUUCGGGUUGUAAAGUACUUUCAGUCGUGAGGAAGGUGUUAAGGUUAAUAACCUUAGCAAUUGACGUUAGCGACAGAAGAAGCACCGGCUAACUCCGUGCCAGCAGCCGCGGUAAUACGGAGGGUGCGAGCGUUAAUCGGAAUUACUGGGCGUAAAGGGCAUGCAGGCGGUUAAUUAAGUUGGAUGUGAAAUCCCCGGGCUUAACCUGGGAAUGGCAUUCAAGACUGGUUAGCUAGAGUCUUGUAGAGGGGGUAGAAUUCCAUGUGUAGCGGUGAAAUGCGUAGAGAUGUGGAGGAAUACCGGUGGCGAAGGCGGCCCCUGGACAAAGACUGACGCUCAUGUGCGAAAGCGUGGGGAGCGAAACAGGGAUUAGAUACC
rnacentral:rRNA from 1 species